UACGGGGGGGGGCAAGCGUUGUUCGGAAUUACUGGGCGUAAAGGGCUCGUAGGUGGCCAACUAAGUCGGACGUGAAAUCCCUGGGCUCAACCCAGGAACUGCGUCCGAUACUGGAAGGCUUGAAUCCGGGAGAGGGAUGCGGAAUUCCAGGUGUAGCGGUGAAAUGCGUAGAUAUCUGGAGGAACACCGGUGGCGAAGGCGGCAUCCUGGACCGGCAUUGACGCUGAGGAACGAAAGCGUGGGUAGCAAACAGGG
rnacentral:rRNA from 1 species